UGCUGGGAUGUGAUGGGGAGCGAAAUUUAGUAGCGAAGUAGCUGAUUUCACACUGUCAAGAAAAGUCUCUAUCGAGGUUAAAGGUACCCGUACCGCAAACCGACACAGGUGGGUGAGGAGAGUAUCCGAAGGCCAGCGAGAGAACUGUUGUUAAGGAACUCGGCAAAAUGACCCCGUAACUUAGGGAUAAGGGGUGCCACCAUCAGGUGGCCGCAGAGAAUAGGCCCAAGCGACUGUUUACCAAAAACAUAGGUU
rnacentral:rRNA from 1 species